rnacentral:rRNA from 1 species
GAUCCUGGUCAGAAUCAACGCUGGCGGCGUGCUCAGACAUGCAAGUCGAACGCGAAAGCCCCCUUCGGGGGGCAAGUAGAGUGGCGCACGGGUGAGUAACACGUAGGUAAUCUACCUUUGGAUGGGGAAUAACCACCGGAAACGGUGGUAAUACCGCAUAAUGCAGCGGCACUAAUGGUGACAGUUGUUAAAGCGGGGGAUCGCAAGACCUCGCGUCUGAAGAGGAGCCUGCGGCAGAUUAGCUAGUUGGUAAGGUAAAGGCUUACCAAGGCGAUGAUCUGUAGCCGGCCUGAGAGGGCGGUCGGCCACACUGACACUGACAUACGGGUCAGACUCU